AUACAAAACACGACGGUAACUGAGUAAGUCAAACCGUCGAAUCUGAAGGCUCUACUUAAAGCUAGGGUGGGUAAUUUCUUUACUGUAAUAUUUGGCAAAACUGUCCUAAUAGCCAGUCAGCUAUAUGUAGGUGAAGUGCUCGGAGAAUAUCUGCUCAUAACUUUGCUCUCCCCUGCCUCUGUGGGCCGCACCCAAAAAUUGCCACCGCUCAUGUACACUUUGACCAAUCAGAGCGAGGCUCCGAUUCUCCGUUCUUAUUGGCUGUGGGACUGUCCGUCACCUUGGCAACGACGUUGGUGCGUCCCUGCGUGAGCGUUCACGAGCCUAGCAGUCUGACAGUUUUGUACUACUACGGCGGACAACAAAUGAAUAGCCAUGUCUUCAUCAACGGCCCAUAAAUUUCCCAUUCCCCGGAUACCAUCAACUAACACCACUAAGACAGCGAAAAAUAGAGGAAAGACACUUGUUGAAAGGACAGCUACUAAAAGGGAGGCGGAGAGAGCUCGAAAUAAAACCAAAGUAAACAUCGGCGUGGCUUAUGAGCGAUGGAGAGAGUUAAAAACUUAAAAGCGGACGCUGAGAUGGCUACAUUUCUUAUAGACAGGUAAGGAAUUGUGUUAUCUCUCCAUGGUAUAUUGUGAUGAAUAUGUAAAGUGUCGGCUGGUAUGGUUUUUUACUAAGCAUAGCCACGAUAACCGUUACAUUACCGUUCUGUAAUGUAACCAUUUCAAUACGGUUCUGUAUGAUGUCUUGCAUCGGCCCAUGGUUCUUUUCCCGGUCCGUUUUAUAGGUUAGUUAUGGUCACAACAACCCUGUCGGAAUAACACAGAGUUUGUGCUAACACGUGGCCUAGGCCUCAACUCAACUGUUGAUAAUGUCCGAGUCACGUUUGUGUAAAAGCUACUUUGACACAACUGCCAAGAUAAGUACAGCGAGGGAAGUCUAGCAUAAGAUAUUCCAUGUAUUGUUAUAACGUUGUUGCAAGCUAGCAGCAGCCUAGCUCAGUUUCGCGAUCGCUUUGAAGUGACGGUUUCCUUGUGUGUAAUCUGGCUUUCUGUGUUAUUUUAACAAACAUAUAUAUUUUUUUAAUUCCGAUAACGUUUUUCUUUGUUGUCCAAUCACUGUUGUGCUUGACCUGUUUUGGCAGUUAUGAGAACCUCACAUCCCCUACUUCAUCCACACCAUGCAAGCGCAGGAGAAACCUGCCUCUUCCCCCAGCUUCAAGCAUACAUUCAGAGACCCUCUUAGACAGAGCCGAUGACUUCUUGGAUGCUCAAGAUGUAGAGGACACCAAUCCUGCCACUACAUUUCAAAGUAUGGAUGCAAGUACUUCUUCACAGGUAACUGACAUUGAAGUCAUAACUGAAGAAGAAUUUAAUGACAUCCGGAACUCUACAAUUGGCUGGGCCGAUAACACCUGGGAAGAUGACAGUUGGCACCCAGAAAUGGAGAUGGACGAUGGGUCAUCUUCAGAGGAGGAAGAAAUGAUGGGGGAAGACAGCGAAUGCAGUGAUGACAGUGACAUCGAUUACGUGCCUUAUCUCUGUGUGCGGACUGGUGGAGCUCUCCAAAAGAGCAAAUGGCUGGACACAUUACCAGCUGUUGGUCUGGAGGAGACUGUUCAUGACAUUGAUGAUGGACACAAUUCCUCAGAAGUGAUACCACCGCUACCAGAGAAGACCCAAGUCCUCUGCAAGGAAGAUAUAAUUGGACAACCAGCUUCCAUUGUCUACCAUAGCUGUCUUAAACAGCUGGCUCAGUAUCUCGUCGUACCAAUCCCCAAGUGCAACACAAAGGACCCAGUAACUGAUGCUGAAUGUGGAGCACUUAGACCAUUUGAAGUGAAAAUAACUUCCAGGGGCACAUCAGUUGUCGUGGAAUAGAUAUGUCAUCAGGGUCACAGUGUCUGGAGGUGGAACUCCCAGCCCACUCUAAAAUAUGGCAUGCAUGCAGGUGACUUCAUGUUGUCCUCGAACAUCCUCCUCUCUGGGAACAACUACGGGAAGGUGGCUCUGCUGUUCAAAUUCAUGAACUUGGGAAUAGUACAUAGAAGAACAUUCUUUAAAAUCCAGGACGCCUACUGCGUUGACGCCAUCGAGAACUACUGGGAUGACAAGAGGUCAGCCAUUAUUACCCGGCUGAAAUCAAAGGACAGUGUAGUGGCCCUUGGUGACGGUCGUAUGGAUAGUCCUGGGUUUUCAGCACAGUACUGUACAUACACAACGAUGGACAACGACAGUAAAGAGAUCAUAUCGAUUGUCAAUAUUGAUAAGAGGGAGACCCAGAAGAAUUCUGUAAUCAUGGAGAAGGAGGCUUUCAUCCGGACCUUUGAGACCCUCCACCAAGAGAUUCGCCUACAAGAGUUUUGCACUGAUGCUCAUUCACAGAUCUCGGCGCUCUUCAAUCCAACAAAAGGCAGGUUCAAGGACUCUGGUGUUUGACACACCCUUGACAUCUGGCAUGGGUCAAAGAACUUGGGUAAAAAAAUCAAUGCAGCAGGCCAUCGGAAAGGAUGUUCAAUUCUCCUUACCUGGAGUAAGGAGAUAUGCAACCAUUUCUGGUAUUGCUGUAAGACUGCACAGAACACUAAUCAGUUCGGUGAUAUGUGGACAGGUCUUCUCCACCAUGUUCAAGGAGAGCACAAGUGGGCACUAUCUUGCUGUGAACAUGGCCCCGUAUCGGCCGACAGGGAGAAGGAGUGGAUCCAGAGUGAUUCUGAGGCCUUUCAGUUACUGUCAGAAAUAGUGCUGGAUGAGCACUGGCUGAAGAAUGUGGAGAAGUUCCUGAGUUUCAGGUCAACCGCUGAGCUGGAAUCCUUCCAUAAUCAUAUACUGAUGUAUGCCAGCAAGCGAUUCAGCUUUAGCCCACCUGUUUACAAGGCUCGCACCCUCUUAGCAGCGUUGGACUAUAACCAUCAUGUUCACAGACCGGUGAAGAGGAAGGCUGAUGGCUCAAUAGAGUACUGCAAGCUCUACAAUAAAAAGUCAAAGACUUGGAGUCUAUACACAGUGAAGGUGGAGAAGGACUACGGAUACAUGGCAGACCUGCAGAGUGCUAUCCUAGAAGCCCGGCUGACAUCAGACAAGGGUUUGCCAAAGACCAGAAAAAAAAGGCCAAAUGACCCACGGCAAUAUGGGGUUCUUGCAAGCAUCCCACCUCCCACCACCCAGGACCUGUUGCAAACCCAAUUCCACAGAGGAGUAGGGCAAGGAAUGCAGUAAGAGACCAUAGAAGAGAUUGGAGGUCCCAUACCAACUAAACUGAAGCUGACUGUAGGCUGCUGGGGGCUGUUUGGAACAGUAUUACGCUGCUCACUUUUUGAUUUUUGAUAUUUGUAAAUAUUCGAUUUAUUAGGUCUAAAUGUCCUUCACAGUUUUGUAUUAUUUACACUUGGUUCUUAUAAAAUAUAUUUAAAAAAAUAGGAUUUUGUAUAUAGUUUUUUAUGAUCAAUUUGUUUAUAAUUGACAUAUUUUCAAUGCAGUUGCACGAUUGUUCUGCUAAAAAGGCAUUUUGUUAUGUAGUGCUUUUAUACUUAUUUAGAAUUUGCACUUGUGCUGCAUGUAGUCAUCGAAGGCCAGGGUGUUCCUGUGUGUGUGAGUUAUUAUCUUAUUGUUUUAUUAUUUAAUAAAAAAGCUUU